CCUACGGGCGGCAGCAGUGGGGAAUAUUGCACAAUGGGCGCAAGCCUGAUGCAGCCAUGCCGCGUGUGUGAAGAAGGCCUUCGGGUUGUAAAGCACUUUCAGCGGGGAGGAAGGCGUUAAGGUUAAUAACCUUGUCGAUUGACGUUACCCGCAGAAGAAGCACCGGCUAACUCCGUGCCAGCAGCCGCGGUAAUACGGAGGGUGCAAGCGUUAAUCGGAAUUACUGGGCGUAAAGCGCACGCAGGCGGUCUGUCAAGUCGGAUGUGAAAUCCCCGGGCUCAACCUGGGAACUGCAUUCGAAACUGGCAGGCUAGAGUCUUGUAGAGGGGGGUAGAAUUCCAGGUGUAGCGGUGAGAUGCGUAGAGAUCUGGAGGAAUACCGGUGGCGAAGGCGGCCCCCUGGACAAAGACUGACGCUCAGGUGCGAAAGCGUGGGGAGCAAACAGGAUUAGAUACCCUAGUAGUC
rnacentral:rRNA from 1 species